rnacentral:rRNA from 1 species
AGUUUGAUCAGUGGCUACAGGAAACGAACGCUGGCGGCGUGUUUAAGACAUGCAAGUCACACGGGGCAGGUUGAGUAGCAAUACGAGAUCUGUUCAGUGGCGCACGGGUGAGUAACACGUGAAUUACAUGCCCUUCAGUGGGGAAUAGCCCAGGGAAACUUGGAUUAAUACCCCAUGGUCUCGCAAGAGUAAAGGUGGCCGCAAGGCUGUCGCUGAAGGAUUGGUUCGCGCCCUAUCAGCUUGUUGGUGAGGUAACGGCUCACCAAGGCUACGACGGGUACCUGGUCUGAGAGGACGAUCAGGCACACUGGAACUGAGACACGGUCCAGACACCUACGGGUGGCAGCAGUCGAGAAUAAUUCACAAUGGGGGCAACCCUGAUGGUGCAACGCCGCGUGGAGGAUGACGGUCUUCGGAUUGUAAACUCCUGUCAUCUGGGAGUAAGACCUGGCCGUUAAUAGCGGACAGGGUUGAUAGUACCAGAAGAGGAAGGGACGGCUAACUUCGUG